AUUGAACGCUGGCGGCAGGCUUAACACAUGCAAGUCGAGCGGGGGAAGGUAGCUUGCUACUGGACCUAGCGGCGGACGGGUGAGUAAUGCUUAGGAAUCUGCCUAUUAGUGGGGGACAACAUCUCGAAAGGGAUGCUAAUACCGCAUACGUCCUACGGGAGAAAGCAGGGGAUCUUCGGACCUUGCGCUAAUAGAUGAGCCUAAGUCGGAUUAGCUAGUUGGUGGGGUAAAGGCCUACCAAGGCGACGAUCUGUAGCGGGUCUGAGAGGAUGAGCCGCCACACUGGGACUGAGACACGGCCCAGACUGCUACGGGAGGCAGCAGUGGGGAAUAUUGGACAAUGGGGGGAAACCUGAUCCAGCCAUGCCGCGUGUGUGAAGAAGGCCUUAUGGUUGUAAAGCACUUUAAGCGAGGGGGAGGCUACUCUAGUUAAUACCUAGGGAUAGUGGACGUUACUCGCAGAAUAAGCACCAGCUAACUCUGUGCCAGCCGCCGCAGUAA
rnacentral:rRNA from 1 species